UUAAAUUCAGUGAAAAAGAGAGUAACUUAAAUGAAUUUCAUAGAGAGCUAAGGAUGGUGGAAGCUUAGCAUUGAAAUUUAAGUGAAGAGAGCUUUGGAGAAUAUAGUUUGAAACUAAGUAUGACUAUAGGUUUUCUCGCCUUAAGAGAUUAAGUGGAUAGGAUUAAACUUUAAUUCUAUCAACCAGAGUGGUACCGCGGAAAUUUUUCGUCUCUUGG
rfam:[Clostridium] sordellii strain JGS6382 genome assembly, chromosome: 1